UUUUUUUUUCAAUUCAUCAUUUUUAAUUCAAAAAAUACGACAAUGAAAAAAAAAUCUAAAAAAACAAAAUUGAAGUUUGAGAAACGUACUCACAUACCCGUGUCCUAAAUUUGGACUCUUUUUAGCCAUGUCCCCGUAUCCCACAUUUUACAAAAUAAAAGAUUUGACGAUUUGAUUGACAUUUCCCGUAUCCCACAUUUUACAAAAUAAAAGAUUUAGAUCCCUUCAACUCUAACCCUUCACCCUAGUUUGUGUCCCAAUCUUAUAUAGACCUAUUUCGUUUCAAUAGAUUGAUUGAAGUCAUUAAAGUGGAGAAUAUAAGUUCUUCUAAUAUGCAAAGCCGCUGGUUGGUGGGGAAUUUAGAAUUAUGCUUUUAAGCAAUUAACGCACAUUGAUAACAUGCUCACAUUCACUAUUUAAAUUGAUUUUUCUCUGCAAAUAUGAUGAUUUUCUUGGAGAAACUAAGUGCAUGUUUGGGUAAUAUUAUAAGUUACUUAGAAUUUAAUGAUCAAAUUCAAACAUUAAUUUUAACUUGCACAUUUCGUAGGACCCAUAGAUACUGACCAUUUAUCCAUCACUAGUUUCUAUCAUAUUAUAAUUUUAUCC
rnacentral:lncRNA from 1 species